CGGUACUGCGAAUAUUUAAAUCUAAUUUGUGGAUUAAGAAUUCCCAAUUCAAAUAGUAAAGUGUGACUUUUUCAUUCAGAAUUUAAAUAUCAGGAGUUCACAAUUCCGAAAUUAGUACUUUUCCGUAAUUGUGGUCAAAAUCCGUUUUCGCUUGGACAAAAUAAAGAACGCACUCUUAUAAUUGGGGUUUUUUCUCUUCUUGAAAAAUUGUUUCGUCUUCUUAUAUGUUCAAAAGAAUUCAAUUAUCUGCCAAAGGCGUCGGGAACUAAGGGUUUCAUUAUUUCUUCAUCCUUUUAGGGGCACAUGAAUCCGAUAAGGUGGUGAAAAAUCAAGUUUCCGUAGAUAGAUGUGUGAACUUCCUGCUGCUGCUUGAAGCACAAUUUAUUAUCCGUACGCGUACCUAAUGAGACGCACAGUCUGCCUACGGAAGAAAAUCGAAUAACCACGCGUUCUCUCUCUAAAAAAGUUCAUGAACCUUUUCGCUAAAUGGUUCGUGAGCCAAAAUCGCGAGGAAAUUUUCAUGAAUGUUACCAUUUCCACGAGCGAGAUAGGAUUCAAAAUCCAAAAGAAUCGUCGGUUGGUUGGACUGCCUCGCUCGCGUUUCCUAUGGUUCACGAACCUAAGGGAUUUUUUUCACAGCCUGCUCGCGCUUUGGCUAAUCUUUACGAGUAAAAAUCGUAGACGAGCGGGAGUCGGCACUCGUGUACACGAUUUUAUUAGUCCUUGAUCCCAUGACGAAAAUUCAGCGCCAGACCUUACAAUUAAAGGAAAGGAUAGAUAGAAAAUGAAGUAAAUCAAUAAUUUAAUGCUUGAAUCAUUAAUUUACAUAAAAAUUGAACGUAUAGUAGCAAAAUGAUUCCGAAGAAAUCUAGUUCUUAGUCACAAAAAACAUGAAUAAAUAACUCUAAACCAAAAUUAUUUUUUCGACAAACAUCAACCGAUGAACCACGCUCAAAAGAUCAGCCUUUGGUCAGGAUGGUUCCUUCGUGGGUAAUUUCGACGAUCUAAUGUGUGAUCGGGUGGGUGGUACUUGAAGUGUUGUUUCGGUAACAAAUAACAAAAUUUUUUCAUUGCUUUUUUCUAUAUGCAUAACAAUAUCUGUUGUGUUUUCGUUUAUUACCUAGGAUGAUGCUCCGGAAGCAAUCUCCUUCUUUGUCUGAAUCCAGCAAACUUUUGGUCGGCGUUAUCUACACAGCAAUUUUUUUUGCUGGAAACCAGCAAAAUUUUGCUGGGUUUCGUCCCGCUGACUUUCCAGCUAAAUUUCCAGCAAUUUAAAUUGCUGGAAAAAACAGCAAACGUUAAUGCUGGUUUCCAGCAAUUCAAAUUGCUGGAAAAUCAGCAAUCCAGAUUGCUGGAAACCAGCUAUUUCUUUCAAAACAACCGGCUGUAUUUAGUACCAAAUUUAUAUUUCAAUUCUAAAUUAAAUAUUGAAUACUGGCUGUGCAUAUAAUGAGCAAUGAAAAAGAAUUAGUUUCUUCCAUUUUUAAAUUAUGUUUUGUUUAUUUUCAAGAACUUUUUUUUAAUUUUCCAACACCGGCUCUGGAGUGGCAGCUUUGUGCCAGAGUGUUGAUCAUUCGCUACCUGAGAAAAGAGUUCUGAUUAGUUUCUUUUAUGAAAUCUGUCCAAUAAAAACUCACCCUUGACUUGUGUCUGGUUGCUAAAAUAUAGAGGGAAAUAAAAAUAAUUAUAUUAAUCCAACCAAAAUUCGCAAAAUAAAGUCUCACCUUGCUUCAGCGUACGAAAACAAACAGACUCCAAUAUGACAACUCGAUUCCUGAUUUUCCAGCAAACUAGAACAAUUGCUGGAAAGUCCAGCAAUUUGAAAACCGAUUGCUGAUUUUUCAGCAAAAAUGACAAGAACACAACCGAUUGCUGAAAAAUCCAGCAAUUAGAAAACCGUUUGCUGGUUUCCAGCAAAAAUUUGGAUUGCUGAACAUUUCCAGCAAUUUUUUUUGCUGGAAAUCGAGGCAAAAAUUUACAGUGUGUGAUCGGGUGGGUGGUACUUGAAGUGUUGUUUCGGUAACAAAAUAACAAAAUUUUUUCAUUGCUUUUUUCUAUAUGCAUAACAAUAUCUGUUGUGUUUUCGUUUAUUACCUAGGAUGAUGCUCCGGAAGCAAUCUCCUUCUUUGUCUGAAUCCAGCAAACUUUUGGUCGGCGUUAUCUACACAGCAAUUUUUUUUUGCUGAAAACCAGCAAAAUUUUGCUGGUUUUUGUCCCGCUGACUUUCCAGCACAAUUUCCAGCUAUUGAAAUUGCUGGAAAAAACAGCAAACGUUAUUGCUGGUUUCCAGCCAUUCAAAUUGCUGGAAAAUCAGCAAUCCAGAUUGCUGGAAACCACACCCAAAAUAAUUUUGAAAUUUUUUCUACGAGAUUUUUCACGUAAAUUUAGAUUUUGUGGCAUCCUAUCGAUUCUACGUGAGUUUUGUGUAACCACAGAGUAUCAAGGAUGAUCUCGUAAAAGUUACUUUACUUUCACAUAACUUACACAUGAAAUUCACGUAAAUUCCAAGCGGAUGAUAGUGGUAAUAAAUUCUUAUUCGAAAAGGGACUUCUUGUCAGUCAGCUUACUUGUUUUUUUGUUGUCGUCGGAAGUCGGCCAGUAGACCACACUUGUCAUCCUGCGGGGCCCUAGCACAAGCAACGUAAAUCCGAGCGUUGACAGCGUGGAGCUUCGGAGGAAACUUCUGGAAGCUCCACCGAAUAGAAAACGAAGGACCGUGAGAAGGAGCCGUCGGCAUCGAGGAGAUGAUCCCAGUCAAGUAGAUUUCGUAGGUGUUGGAGGUAUAUUUCAAGUGGCAAUGGAUGGCGCACAAGGAUUCCACUUAGCAAGAGGUCCCGGGAUUGAAUAUUCUAAGUGUACGUGUAUGAACAGUGAUGGUAGUUGAAAUAAAUUAUGUUUGCGAUAAUUUUUUUUAUUAUUACCGAAAGUAGAAACGAAAAAAUAUCAAUAGAAAAGAUUCAAACAUCAUUUCAAUACUAAACACAUUUCACGAUGCUUCCAUUAUCACAUCGCAUUGAACUCACCUGAAAUUCACGUAAGUUGCACGCGACA